CGCGUGGGAACCUUCCCUGUGGUACGGAAUAACUUCGGGAAACCGAAGCUAAUACCGUAUAUCCCCUCCGGGGGAAAGAUUUAUCGCCAUAGGAUGGGCCCGCGUUGGAUUAGCUAGUUGGUGAGGUAAUGGCUCACCAAGGCGACGAUCCAUAGCUGGUCUGAGAGGAUGAUCAGCCACAUUGGGACUGAGACACGGCCCAAACUCCUACGGGAGGCAGCAGUGGGGAAUAUUGGACAAUGGGCGCAAGCCUGAUCCAGCCAUGCCGCGUGAGUGAAGAAGGCCUUAGGGUUGUAAAGCUCUUUCGCUAGGGACGAUAAUGACGGCACCUAGAUAAGAAGCCCGGGCUAACUUCGUGCCAGCAGCCGCGGUAAUACGAAGGGGGCUAGCGUUGUUCGGAAUCACUGGGCGUAAAGCGCACGCAGGCGGAUAGAUAAGUCAGGGGUGAAAUCCCGGGGCUCAACCUCGGAAUUGCCUUUGAUACUGUCUGUCUCGAGUUCGGGAGAGGUUGGCGGAAUUCCUAGUGUAGAGGUGAAAUUCGUAGAUAUUAGGAAGAACACCAGUGGCGAAGGCGGCCAACUGGCCCGAUACUGACGCUCAUGUGCGAAAGCGUGGGGAGCAAACAGGAUUAGAUACCCUGGUAGUCCACGCCGUAAACUAUGGAUGCUAGCCGUUGGGGAGCUUGCUCUUCAGUGGCGCAGCUAACGUCUUAAGCAUCC
rnacentral:rRNA from 1 species